AAUAUUGAAGUUUGGUGAAGUUUGUGAAUUUUAAAUUAAGCAUCGAAAGGCAGAAGUCCAACAAAAUAAUAAAUGUCAAAUAUUGACUUGUAUGGAGAUGUACUUUAAAGACAAGACUUGCUUUUAUACGGUGUUUUGGAAAUCUAAAACCCUGCUUUCGAUUAUUUGAAGAAGGACAUAAGGUAGGUUCGGUUGCUGAAGAAGUAGUAGGGCAGACAUGUCAGGUUCAUGAACACAAGUAAAGCCUGCGUUGGCCACGUACCCAUUUUUCUGUAUUUUCAAUGUACUAUACGCUCAUCAACACAGAGGCUCAACCACUUUAAGAAAUUAUAAAAUUGGUAUGUCAAGUAUAUAUGUCUCCCAAAAUUCAAACUUCAUGUUCAACUAUGACAUCUAUUUGCAUGAUUUAAUGCAGACAAAGUCAUGGCUUCCUCUUCUUUGGGUGCUUUUGCUUCCAUUCAAACGUGGAUUCCAGGUGCAUCAUAAAACAUUGUCCGCCACAGUUUACACCAUGGAUUUCUAUUUUAAUUCACCUUCCACGUGAAAUGUUUUUCAUUUUUCAUUCAUCAUUCACCACAAAAAAUGAGUAUAUAUAUCUAUGCUUGGCUUUUCUUCCUUUUUAAAUUUGCUGACUUUUCAUUCAAGCUUAUCAACACACGUGUUGGGUCCACGUUUUUCAUGGAUAACCCUUAA
rnacentral:lncRNA from 1 species